CUACACAUAGUGUUUCUCUG
rnacentral:misc_RNA from 1 species